GAUGAACGCUAGCGAUAGGCCUAACACAUGCAAGUCGAGGGGCAUCACAUGAAGUAGCAAUACGGAUGGUGGCGACCGGCGCACGGGUGAGUAACACGUAUGCAACCUGCCUUCAACAAGGGGAUAACCCGUUGAAAGACGGACUAAUACCCUAUAACACAGGGGUCCCGCAUGGGAAUAUUUGUUAAAGGACAACCGGUUGAAGAUGGGCAUGCGUUCCAUUAGCUAGUUGGCGGGGUAACGCCCACCAAGGCAACGAUGGAUAGGGGAACUGAGAGGUUUAUCCCCCACACUGGUACUGAGACACGGACCAGACUCCUACGGGAGGCAGCAGUGAGGAAUAUUGGUCAAUGGACGCAAGUCUGAACCAGCCACGUCGCGUGAAGGAAGACGGCCCUACGGGUUGUAAACUUCUUUUGUAAGGGAAUAAAGUGUAGUACGCGUACUAUUUUGCAUGUACCUUACGAAUAAGGAUCGGCUAACUCCGUGCCAGCAGCCGCGGUAA
rnacentral:rRNA from 1 species